CAUGUUCAGCUCCCAGCCUUUUUGAAAGAGAAGGUUGCUUGGAGUUGGUGAUGGACGUUUUUGCCAGACCUUACCGUCUUGCUCGUCUUAAAUCGAUCAGUGGAAUCAUCUUUUGAGUCCGGUCUGACUAUGUGUGAUAAUUUGAUCACAUAGAAUGUGGGCUUGCCCUACAACCGCAUCUUGAAGGACUCUGCUUCCAACACGGAAUGGUCUUGGACCAUCGUUAGCCUUUUAAU
rnacentral:misc_RNA from 1 species